UACGGAGGGUGCAAGCGUUGUUCGGAAUCACUGGGCGUAAAGCGCGUGUAGGCGGCCUCGUAAGUCUGGUGUGAAAGCCCGGGGCUUACCCCCGGAAGUGCACUGGAAACUGCAAGGCUUGAGUACCGGAGAGGAGGGUGGAAUUCCUGGUGUAGCGGUGAAAUGCGUAGAUAUCAGGAGGAACACCGGUGGCGAAGGCGGCCCUCUGGACGGAUACUGACGCUGAGACGCGAAAGCGUGGGGAGCAAACAGG
rnacentral:rRNA from 1 species